AGGUGUGCUGCAGAACACAGGGCUCACACACAGAACAAGAUAAAUCUCUCCACCACAAAAAUCUUAGGAUAUACACCCUGAGAAAUAAAACACCUGAAGGACUGCUGAGAAAGGAACUUCAUAAGCUUGUUUUGCAAGUUCAGAAGGGUGGGAUGAGAAACAAAGUAUGGAGAAGAGCGAACAGCAGAGACUGUAAUUCCAACAGAAGCCRUCUUGAUACAUUAAUCAGAUCAGUUUGGUUCCAAUAUUUCAAUAUCUUUCAGUGCUUUUUGCAUCAACUGGCUUCCCAAAACCAGUAGAUCUCCUCCUGAGUGUUGCURUUGUAAGACUGAACUUUAAGUGAAGCACAACUUCAAAUUUCUUUAGAAUAAAGACAYGACAUAUUUCUCCACAUAUAAAAAUU